rnacentral:rRNA from 1 species
UACAGAGGGUGCAAGCGUUGUUCGGAAUUAUUGGGCGUAAAGGGCGCGUAGGCGGUGCCACAAGUCACCUGUGAAAUCUCCGGGCUUAACUCGGAGCCUGCAGGCGAAACUGUGGUGCUGGAGUGUGGGAGAGGUGCGUGGAAUUCCCGGUGUAGCGGUGAAAUGCGUAGAUAUCGGGAGGAGCACCUGUGGCGAAAGCGGCGCACUGGACCACAACUGACGCUGAGGCGCGAAAGCUAGGGGAGCAAACAGG